rnacentral:rRNA from 1 species
UAAUACGGGGGGUGCGAGCGUUGUCCGGAAUCACUGGGCGUAAAGGGCGCGUAGGUGGUCUGAUAAGGGUGUGGUGAAAGCCCGGGGCUCAACCCCGGGUCGGCCGUGCCGACUGUUGGACUAGAGUGCUGUAGGGGCAGGCGGAAUUCCGGGUGUAGCGGUGGAAUGCGUAGAGAUCCGGAGGAAGACCGGUGGCGAAGGCGGCCUGCUGGGCAGUUACUGACACUGAGGCGCGACAGCGUGGGGAGCAAACAGGA